AGGGCAGGGGGGUCUCGGCCAUUUCGGCUGAGCCUGUCCGGCAGGUUGCGCGUGAUGGCUCAGGUGCGACCAGUGGUUGUCGCUCGGGGGUGAUCGCCG
rnacentral:sRNA from 1 species